rnacentral:rRNA from 1 species
AGAAUCAACGCUGGCGGCGUGCCUAACACAUGCAAGUCGAACGCGGCUUUUCCCGCAAGGGAAAAGCUGAGUGGCAAACGGGUGAGUAACACGUGGGUGACCUGCCUUCGAGUGGGGGAUAACGUCUCGAAAGGGACGCUAAUACCGCAUAACAUCCUGUCUUUUAAGAGAUGGACAUCAAAGCCUGGGACCGCAAGGCCAGGCGCUUGAAGAGGGGCCCGCGUCUGAUUAGCUAGUUGGUGGGGUAAUGGCUCACCAAGGCAACGAUCAGUA